UCGGGAAUUUUGGGCAAUGGGCGAAAGCCUGACCCAGCAACGCCGCGUGAGGGAUGAAGUAUUUCGGUAUGUAAACCUCGAAAGAAUGGGAAGAAUAAAUGACGGUACCAUUUAUAAGCUCCGGCUAACUACGUGCCAGCAGCCGCGGUAAUACGUCGGGAGCAAGCGUUGUUCGGAUUUACUGGGCGUAAAGGGCGCGUAGGCGGCGCGGUAAGUCACUUGUGAAAUCUCUGAGCUUAACUCAGAACGGCCAAGUGAUACUGCUGUGCGAGAUUGCGGAAGAGCCAACCGGAAUUCUUGGUGUAGCGGUGAAAUGCGUAGAUAUCAAGAGGAACACCUGAGGCGAAGGCGGGUUGCUGGGCCGACACUGACGCUGAUGCGCGAAAGCCAGGGGAGCAAACG
rnacentral:rRNA from 1 species